rnacentral:rRNA from 1 species
GCCAGCACGUAAUAGUGGGGAUCGUGAGAGAUGCCGGGGUCAACUCGGAGGAAGGUGGGGAUGACGUCAAUUCAUCAUGCCCCUUAUGUCCAGGGCUUCACACAUGSUACAAUGGCCGGUACAAAGGGCUGCGAUGCCGUGAGGUGGAGCGAAUCCUUUCAAACCCGGUCUCAGUUCGGAUCGGGGUUUGCAACUCGACCCCGUGAAGUCGGAGUCGCUAGUAAUCGCAGAUCAGCAACGCUGCGGUGAAUACGUUCCCGGGCCUUGUACACACCGCCCGUCACGUCAUGAAAGUCGGUAACACCCGAAGCCGGUGGCCUAACCCCUUGUGNGAGGGAGCCGUCGAAGGUGGGAUCGGCGAUUGGGACGAAGUCGUAACAAGGUAGCAGUACCGGAAGUG